rnacentral:snRNA from 1 species
GGAGUGAAUGCUAAGUUCAAAUAGUAAAAUUAGAAUGAUACAGAGAAGAUUAACAUGGUCCUUAUACUAGGAUG